CACAGUCAGGCAUAUAACAUGGUGCAGACUGUCCAAGACAGCUACCCAGGAAUUUUCUGUGCUGAAUAAAUGACAAUAUUUUGGUGAAUGUAUUGUUUAGAUAUCUGAAAAUUUCAUCGGAUCACAAGCAAAGACCUCCUGGGGACCUUCAAUGCAUCCCUUGACAAAGUUGUGCCUGGCCUGCUGAAACUGUACUGGUCUAAGAAGGGAGCUCUUGGUGAGGAGAUGGAAGACCUCCUGGAUAAACUUGAUGAACAGACAUCCAACACUGUGUCCAACGGGCACUGAGAGGCCUGCCCAUUUUCCUCAAGAGAAGAUGCAACAGAGGUUUUCCUGAAGUGCUUAGACACUGACAUUUUGGAACCAGUGUUGAAUGGUGCAUCAGUUGCCAUCCUCACCAUCCUACAAGAUGACGAUGCUGAUACGUCUGUGCGAGAACAUGCAGUUGUGUUGGAAGGGGACAUUGUGCUACAUAACAUUCCAGAUCUCUCUACUGCCCUGGCACACCUCUUUGGCCUUCUGUAUGCCCUCGACAUUGAUUAUCCAAAGCAGAUGAGUUUUACCUUUGAAGCAAUUCAGGCCAUCUUAUUUUGGCCUGGUCGGACAUUAUGAAGGCGAAGUGGAUAAAUCAUUAUUCGAAAUGUAAAUUUUAGUCAGAUGAAUCUGUAUUGUUGAGAAUAUAUGGUGAAAAUUUGUCUUGUAGUAUUUUAAAAGAUUUGUUAUAGUGUUAGUUUCCUCUUCAUUGAUGGUAACAUUUCUAA